rnacentral:misc_RNA from 1 species
GAUGAAGAACGUAGCGAAAUGCGAUAAGUAAUGUGAAUUGCAGAACUCAGUGAAUCAUCGAAUCUUUGAACGCACAUUGCGCCCGGGAGCAUUCUCCCGGGCAUGCCUGUUCGAGCGUCAUUUCAACCCUCGAUUUCCCUUUGGGGAAGUCGGCCGUUGGAGAUCGGCAGCACUGCCGGCUCCCAAAUACAGUGGCGACCCGCCGCGGGGACCCCUGCGUAGUAACUUACACUCGCACCGGAAACCAGACGUGUCACGCCGUAAAACCCCCAACUUUCUGAACGUUGACCUCGGAUCAGGUAGGAAUACCCGCUGAACUUAAGCAUAUCAAUAAGCGGAGGA